AGGGAGCUGGGCCUGGGGGCUGGCCCCUGGGCACUCAGAGAAGUGGUCUCCAUACCUGCUGUGGGGAGGGCCAGGUGUGUGUCUCCUGAAUUGGGUUGGGGGGUGUCCUGUCCUUCAGCAAGGACUCCAGAGGUGAGGAGCUCUGGGACGAUAGCCUGCUUUCUAUAGGAGGAUGGUCUGAUCUGGAGCGAAUUGGAGGGGUGCUCCUCACUCACACCCCCAGGCCAGGGCUCCGACAGUCCUGAAGGUUUCUGCGGGGCUGCAGGUAGUUGCUGGGGACAAAGCAAGGUCAGGGAGGGAGUUUGGGCAGCAGAGGAAGGGGUUGACCAAAUUGAGCAGGAAGAGGGAAGAGGAGGAGGAGGAGGAGGCCACCAUGGGUUGAAAACAAGGGAGGGAGAAGAGCCCAGUGGCCUUGGCCGGAGGGGAGGAGGCUGCUGGGUCGACGGCACCACAGAACCUCAUGAAUGCUGGAGACUCCAUUUUGGGGCCAACGGGGCUGCCCCUGGUCCUCUCAGCCCUGCUCUCUGCCCAGUGGCUGCUUGGAGGGGUCAGGCAUGUGUCGUGCUCAGCGGCUCUGACAAGACAAGAGCCUCCCUUCCCUGAGACCAAGAGCUAGAGCCUGAACCCACCCCUGGAGCCAGCCUUUGGAUAACAAUGGUGAGUUGAUGGAAGAAGAGGCCUUCUUCCUGGCUACCAGGUUCAGUACAGGAAGACGCAGAUCCUUCCUGGCCCAGAAACAGCCUGCCUGCUGCCUGCCCAACAAUGGCAGGUGGGGUGUCGCCAUCCUCGAUCACAGGGUGGCUGGAGCCUGAGAGCAGAGAUGAUGCCCUUCCUGAGGCUUUUGCUACUCCUCGGUAAGCACACAGAGACACAUUCCUGUGUCAAGGAGUGGCUCAGGAGGGGACCCUUCUUGGAUGCUGGGGAGUCACCUGGAGGCUCUUCCUGUCCACGCAGUGGCCUUUCUCCUUGGCGGAUUGUGGAGCCCAGUCAGCGGCUCUGCCUUCGCUGUCUCGUUCGCUGGUUUUGGCACCAGACCUAAGGGGCAAAAGAAGAAGCAACGGUCAGGUAACACGCGAAGGCAGCUUAUCCCACACAUGGCAGGGACUCGAGGACCCAAGACCAACUAACACCCCACUGAAAGCCAGAGCUGGCUUGUUGCCUACACUGUUACAUGUAUUUGCAUGGCCCUUUGGUGUACAAGGAAGAAGGCGUUGGUCUCCCCUGAGGAGCAUGAACUGUAGGUAAACACACAAUGGAUGGUGUUGGUAGAACAGUCAUUUCUUCUUUGGUCAUCUGCAUGGACAGAUGAUGGGGUUCCUGCUGCAGUCCCCUGUAGGGAGCUGAGGAGACGUUGACUGACCCAAGAAGACACUGGAAAUGGGUGUCAUUCUCGUCACAAUUGGACCCUUGUGCAGGCUUCCUCUCUGCUGGUGGCAAAAGACAAAAUGGUCGUCAUGGAUUGGCACCUAUUCCUCUCUAUGUGUCUCUUCCCCUCCCGUGUAGGAGGACUCACGGUGUUUCAUGUGGUAAAAGCGAUUGGCCAUGGCACAGGAUCUCUGGGGACAGUCAGCCCAUGGGCAUGAACCCGUCAUCAGGCCUCAGGCCUUGGACCCCAGUGUUCCCUCAUCCAGUGAACGAAGGUCUCAGAAGGACCUCCAAGGGCAAGGGCUCCUAGAGCCCGCACAUCCCCACGCCAUAGGUUCUGAGCUCCCCAGCUGAGCACGCAGAAGGACAGGCAAUGGCCUAGCCCCAUGUGUUUGCAUGCCUCCUCCCCCAGAGACUAUGAGAAAAGCACUGGGUCUGCCUAGCUGGAUUCUAGAUUCGGGGAUGGUCAGCUCUCGGGCCAGGUGUUCUCUGGCAGCAAUGACAGGGUAAGGGUCUCCUGGAAGAAUGCCUGCAGGGCCCCCAUCUGCCUCACCAUCAAUACGAGCCUCGUUUGUCGGGGUCCUCAUGGGAGUGGGACUGUGUGGGGAAGAGGGCAGCCACAGGAGGAAGGCAUUCAGAGGAGCAUUGACCAGCAAUGUGCUCUCAGCACUCCCCUUUCUGGGAUGUCGAAAACAUCCCCGUCCAGGAAUGACCUCCCCUUUGCCACUUAUGGUCCCACCUAAGCCUGAGGGGGCUGUUCCACAGGACAUAGGCAGUUCCCCAUCUGCCCUUGGGAAUGGGUGUUCGUCAGGGAUCUAGGGAAAGGGCAGCCUUGAGCUACCUAUGUGAUUCCAGGCCAAGGCUUGGAGAAGACCCUGAGUGGAGAUACUGGUGGGGGUCAGGGUCGAGGAGGGGGCGGGGGAAGGGUGAAAAGCCCAUUGGGAAAACCAAAGAGGACCACAUGUCCACGAGGAAACCUGAAGGGAAUAUGUGAAAACCCAUGCCCAUAGUGGGUCCAUUGACGUGAAAGUUCUACAGUCGUCAACCCAUCAAAGGAAGUGAUCCACCUUGACUUGCUCUCUGUGCCCUGAGAUCCAGCUGGCGGCCUUACAGAAGGGGGACUCUUGCUGGGAAUCUCGGCCCAGUCCAGGGUUUCCCUCCUCCCGCAGCCCUAUGCAAGCCCCACUCCUGCCCCUUCACCCAGACACCAGGGGAGCCCAGCUGUCCCAUGAGCGUCCCACCCAUUAAGGCAGUCACUUCUCCUUUCCUGAAGCCCGGUAUGUCCUCUGAGCCCUUGGGGCAUCUCGGCAGGUGCGGAUCCUGUGAUGGCCACUCACAGCCAGGGGUGCUCCUGGAAGCCAUGCUGCAGGCGGCCCUCGGCUUGAGUGGCGCCGGCAGGUCAACUGGACAGGACCCAGCACGCGGGACGUACUCCGGCCUGGGAGGGCCCAACCCAGGAUGGCCCACCCCUUGGUCUUCCCUCAGCUCCCUGGGUGGCCCCACCCCCAGUGGGGCUGACCAUCGGUGGACAAGGGAGGUCUCCCUGGACCGGACCUUGGGACCACCAGAAGCAACAGUUGGAGCUGGGCCUGUGUCUGAUGGGCCUGCACCCUUCCCUUAGAUGACCAGCGCCUUCCUGGCACCCACAAGCCUCUCGGGAUCUCAGACCUGAAAUAGAACCGUGCCCUGGAGCCCCUGUGCACCGUGUCUUUGGCCGGACUCCUUCGUGGCCCUCGUACAGUCGCUCAGGAUUCUGGACCGAUGUUGUGGAACUCUGGCCACCUCUGGCCUCCCAGCACGAGCCUCCUGCUUCACCUUCCUAGAAAGUCAUUUUAAUUUUUUUCUUUAUUUUUAUAAUUGUUUUAAUUAAAGUUGUGUGGUUUA